CGAGAAGAUCCUGAGAUUCAUCAAGGGCUACAAGCGAACGUUUAAUCUCGGUAUUCUUGGUUGCGCCUAAAUGAUUUGAAGCAAAUCUGAACCUGUAACUGUAGUUCUUGGUCUGAAGAUAUCACAUCUCAACUUUUCUUUCCCCGCAGCUUGCAUUGACCAUAGAGGCGCACCACAGAAUCCAUCCAGGACCUGCACCCCUGAAUCCGAAGAUGAAGAAAUAUGCGUAUUCAACGUGAGGAAUUUCAUACUUUUGGUGUGGUGCUAGCAAAUAUAGUGACCAAAGAUAGUGAUGAGAAAGGGUGGAGCUGAGUAUGCCACACAUGGAUAUGAUUAUUCCCCGUAUGUUCUUUUUGGCAAUCCACUUCAUCACUGACUCAUCUGUGUAUGGGGUAGAGCCAAGGUGGCAUAAGUGUGUGGCUACGGAUUACAUCACGGAUUAUGUGCUACUUUAUUAGUUGAAGUCUCUUUGUUCGGUUCCAAAGUUUGGCCACAACUAGCUUGAUUCGGAGACAUUUCGUAUUAGGAGUUAAACUUUGGUUUGGAGGCAUUGAGCUUUGCCAGUAACUAGCUUUGUUACUUGGUAUACUUCUGUCAGCAUUCAGGAGCCCCGUAGUUGUGUAGCGGGUCGCGGGAGAGGCAGCCGGUGAGUGCGAGCUGGACGGGAAAGUGAUGCCUGCGAUGGCGAACCAUGCCGGCGGGCAGGGCAGGGUCGACGCUCUAAAUGUACUGCCUGACAGCUUGUCUUAGUCUUAAUAAAAGUGCAUAUCUGCAGCAUCCUUUCAUUUAUUUGGCAUAUCCUACUUUAAAAAAUAUCCUUGACUCGCAUCGAUUUCAAAUAACUGAAGUAUCUUCUCUGCUCAUGUUUCCACAUAAAGCCCAAUCAUGUAUAUGUACUGAUGGCAGCAUGCAUUCCAAGUUAGAGAGGUUCCAAUGCUUUCCUUUUUUCACAUCCGUGCUUAUCUUCUUGUAUUGUUUAGCAACGAGAUCAAUAGUAGCACUUGGCCAGAAUAUGAAUUUUUAGUGCUUCUGAAUUUCAAUGACAAGCGGUACUGAAUUUUAACUAAGUGCUUCUGAUAUGUCAAUGACAA